rnacentral:rRNA from 1 species
UACGAAGGGGGCUAGCGUUGUUCGGAAUUACUGGGCGUAAAGCGCGUGUAGGCGGUCUCGCAAGUCGGUCGUGAAAUCCCUAGGCUUAACCUAGGAACUGCGAUCGAAACUACAAGACUAGAGUAUCGGAGGGGGUGGCGGAAUUCCCGGUGUAGAGGUGAAAUUCGUAGAUAUCGGGAGGAACACCUGUGGCGAAGGCGGCCACCUGGAAGAUUACUGACGCUGAGACGCGAAAGCGUGGGGAGCAAACAGG